CGUUCCGAACGUCCGGCGGAGGACGAGAAUCAAUAUAAGAAAUUCCCAGAAUUAAGAUAAAACCAAAUUAACUAUAAUGGGCCUAUAAUUGGGUCGUGAUUAAGGUUUUGUUAAUCAUGGGCCCAUAAGGAAAACUAUAAAUAGGAGUCAAGGGUAAGAGGUAGGUGGUUCCAUUGAAUGCAUAUUUAUUUCACUCUCUCUCUAUCUC
rnacentral:lncRNA from 1 species